CUAAUACUAGAUGCAAUAGGUCAACUAUAUUUGGUGUAUGGAAAUAUUUUAUGAUCUCUAUGUCAGUCGUGCAGGUUUUAUUUGACCUUGACCUCAUUUUCACAGUCCAUUGCUCAGUGUUAGGUUUUUGUCGAGCCUGCGACUUUUGUCGCAGAAAGCUCGACAUAGGGAUAGUGAUCCGGCGGCGGCGGCGGCGGCGUUAGCUAACUUCUUAAAAGCUUUAUAUUUUAGAGGGUGGAAGACCUGGAUGCUUCAUACUUUGUAUAUGGAUGCCUCAUGUUACGAAGUUUCCGUCAGUCACAUGUCCAAUGUCCUUGACCUCAUUUUCAUGGUUCAGUGACUACUUGAAAAAAAAGUUCAGAUUUUUUGUAAUGAUAAAUUCUCUCUUAUUAUAAGUAAUAGGAUAACUAUAUUUGGUAUGUGCGUACCUUGCAAGGUCCUCAUGCCCGUCAGACAGUUUUCACUUGACCUCGACCUCAUUUCAUGGAUCAGUGAACAAGGUUAAGUUUUCGUGGUCAAGUCCAUAUCUCAGAUACUAAAAGCAAUAGGUCUAGUAUAUUCGGUGUAUGGAAGGACUGUAAGGUGUACAUGUCCAACUGGCAGGUGUCAUCUGACCUUGACCUCAUUUUCAUGGUUCAGUGGUUAUAGUUAAGUUUUUGUGUUUUGGUCUGUUUUUCUUAUACUGUAUGCAAUAGGUCUACUAUAUUUGGUGUAUGGAAGGAUUGUAAGGUGUACAUGUCUAGCUGGCAGGUGUCAUCUGACCUUGACCUCAUUUUCAUGGUUCAGUGGUUAUAGUUGAGUUUUUGUGUUUUGGUCUGUUUUUCUUAUACUGUAUGCAAUAGGUCUACUAUAUUUGGUGUAUGGAAGGAUUGUAAGGUGUACAUGUCUAGCUGGCAGGUGUCAUCUGACCUUGACCUCAUUUUCAUGGUUCAGUGGUUAUAGUUGAGUUUUUGUGUUUUGGUCUGUUUUUCUUAUACUGUAUGCAAUAGGUCUACAAUAUUUGGUGUAUGGAAUGAUUGUAAGGUGUACAUGUCUAGCUGGCAGGUGUCAUCUGACCUUGACCUCAUUUUCAUGGUUCAGUGGUCAAAGUUAAGUUUUUGAGUUUUGGACUUUUUUUCUAAUACUGCAUGCAAUAGGUCUACUAUAUUUGCUGUAUGGAAUGAUUGUAAGGUGUACAUGUCUAGCUGGCAGGUGUCAUCUGACCUUGACCUCAUUUUCAUGGUUCAGUGGUCAAAGUUAAGUUUUUGAGAUUUGAUCUUUUUUUCUAAUACUAUAUGCAAUAGUUCAACUACAUUUAGUGUAUGGAAAUAUUUUAUGAUCUAUAUGUCAGUCACGCAGGUUUUAUUUGACCUUGACCUCAUUUUCAAGGUUCAUUGCUCAGUGUUAAGUUUUUGUGUUUUGGUCUGUUUUUCUUAAACUAUAAGCAAUAGGUCAACCAUACUUGUUGUAUGGAAGAAUUGUUAGCUGUACAUGCCUGCCUAGCAUGGUUCAUCUGACCUUGACCUCAUUUUCAUGGUUCAUUGGUCAAUGUUUAGUUUACUUGGUUAAUGUUAAGUUUAUGUGACAGUUGUAUUAAAGCUUUAUAUUUAGGACUAUCAACAUAAUAUCAAUGAUUAGUAAAGAAGGCGAGACAUUUCAGCGUGUGCACUCUUGUUGU